GAUGAACGCUGGCGGCGUGCCUAAUACAUGCAAGUCGAGCGAACAGACGAGGAGCUUGCUCCUCUGACGUUAGCGGCGGACGGGUGAGUAACACGUGGAUAACCUACCUAUAAGACUGGGAUAACUUCGGGAAACCGGAGCUAAUCCCGGAUAAUAUAUUGAACCGCAUGGUUCAAUAGUGAAAGACGGUUUUGCUGUCACUUAUCGAUGGAUCCGCGCCGCAUUAGCUAGUUGGUAAGGUAACGGCUUACCAAGGCAACGAUGCGUAGCCGACCUGAGAGGGUGAUCGGCCACACUGGAACUGAGACACGGUCCAGACGCCUACGGGAGGCAGCAGUAGGGAAUCUGCCGCAAUGGGCGAAAGCUUGACGGAGCAACGCCGCGUGAGUGAUGAAGGUCUUCGGAUCGUAAAACUCUGUUAUUAGGGAAGAACAAAUGUGUAAGUAACUAUGCACGUCUUGACGGUACCUAAUCAGAAAGACACGGCUAACUACGUG
rnacentral:rRNA from 1 species